AACGAACGCUGGCGGCAUGCCUAACACAUGCAAGUCGAACGAGACCUUCGGGUCUAGUGGCGCACGGGUGCGUAACGCGUGGGAACCUGCCCUUAGGUUCGGAAUAACUCCCCGAAAGGGGUGCUAAUACCGGAUAAUGUCUUCGGACCAAAGAUUUAUCGCCUUUGGAUGGGCCCGCGUUGGAUUAGCUAGUUGGUAGGGUAAAAGCCUACCAAGGAGACGAUCCAUAUCUGGUCUGAGAGGAUGAUCAUCCACACUGGGACUGAGACACGGCCCAGACUAGUACGGGAGGCAGCAGUGGAGAAUAUAGGACAAUGGGCGAAAGCCUGAUCAAGCAAUGCCGCGUGAGUGAUGAAGGCCUUAGGGUUGUAAAGCUCUUUUACACGGGAUGAUAAUGACAGUAACGGGAGAAUAAGCAACGGCUAACUACGUG
rnacentral:rRNA from 1 species